CAACCCACUCUCUGUGCUAUGACUUCAUUACUCUUUCCCAGCCCAGCCCUGGGCAAGCCCCUUACGAAGUCUCAGGCUACCUGGAUGACCACCCUUUCUUAUGAUGCUGCAAGGAGGGCAGGUGGGCAGAGCCCCGUGCAUCCUGGGCUCAGGCCAGGGACCCAAGAGCUUGGGAGAAGCUGGUUCUCAGACUGAAGGCCAGAGCCCAGCACCUUGUCACCAUCCCGGGGAGCAUCAUGGCACACAACAACCAGAGCCAAGGUGUGCAGAGAAGUCUACAUUCCCAUGUCAAAUUGACAGGCCUCGGAAGUCAAAAUAAGUGGUUUCCUAGACCGGGUCGAGAGCAAGUCUCUAUUGGUCCCAACUGAGUUUUUUCAGCUGGUUUUUCAACCAAACAGCACCUCAUCUCCCAGUGAGGGGAAGGGAAGGCUGGGCUGAGAGCAGCAAGGCUGCUCAUCUCACCUCUCCCCACCCAGCCAUGCCAGCCGCCUCACCUGGUGGGGAGAGGUGGGCCUCACCUGGGUCCCCUGGCAGUGCUCUGUGAAGGGUCUUGACAUUGCACUGUAAUAAUAAAGGUGUGUGUGAAGUAUC
rnacentral:sRNA from 1 species